UACGUAGGGGGCUAGCGUUGUCCGGAAUCAUUGGGCGUAAAGAGCGCGUAGGCGGCUAGAUAAGUCCGGUGUGAAAGUCACAGGCUCAACCUGUGAAUGCCGCUGGAAACUGUCUGGCUAGAGUCCGGAAGGGGCGAGUGGAAUUCCUGGUGUAGCGGUGAAAUGCGCAGAUAUCAGGAGGAACACCAAUGGCGAAGGCAGCUCGCUGGGACGGUACUGACGCUGAGGAGCGAAAGUGUGGGGAGCGAACAGG
rnacentral:rRNA from 1 species